UACGUAGGGGGCAAGCGUUGUCCGGAAUCAUUGGGCGUAAAGAGCGUGUAGGUGGCUAGGUAAGUCCGCUGUGAAAGUCCAGGGCUCAACCCUGGAAAGCCGGUGGAAACUGUCGAGCUCGAGUCCGGAAGAGGCGAGUGGAAUUCCUGGUGUAGCGGUGAAAUGCGCAGAUAUCAGGAGGAACACCAAUGGCGAAGGCAGCUCGCUGGGACGGUACUGACACUGAGACGCGAAAGCGUGGGGAGCAAACAGG
rnacentral:rRNA from 1 species